CUCCUGGGCUCAAGUGAUCCUCCUGCCUCAGCCUCCCAAGUAGCUGGGACCACAGAUGCAUGCCACCAUGCCCAGCUAAGUUUUGGUACUUUUGGUAGAGACAGGGUUUCACCAUGUUGCCCAGGCUGGUCUCCAACUCCUGAGCUCAAGCAAACUGCCUGCCUCAACCUCACGAAGUGCUGGGAUUACAGGCAUGAGCCAU
rnacentral:lncRNA from 10 species